AUUACAAUUUUUCAAAAAAGCAAAAAAAUAAAAACAUCAUAGAUUUGGAUGAAUAGAAUUGUAUUUUAUUAAUGAUCAAAUUUGAUAGAUGCCAAACAACGUUCAAUUCUCCCUUAGGCAUAUGAGAAGGAUUUUCAAAAAUAAUAAGGACAAUUACUUGGUGCAGUCUUCAUCUUCAUCCCCCUCAAUCGCUGCAGCUGAGUGUUUUUCAUUACCAUGAAUGAACCCUCCGCUUCGGAAAAUGGGUUGCACA
rnacentral:lncRNA from 1 species